rnacentral:rRNA from 1 species
AGAGUUUGAUUCUGGCUCAGGAUGAACGCUAGCGGCAGGCUUAAUACAUGCAAGGCGAGGGGGCAGCAAUGUCACCGUCGUACGGGUGCGUAACGCGUAUGCAACCUACCUAUCACUGGGGGAUAGCCCGGGGAAACCCGGAUUAAUACCGCAUGACACAUUUGUGUAGCAUUACAUGAUUUGUUAAAGAUUUAUUGGUGAUAGAUGGGCAUGCGUUCGAUUAGCUAGUUGGCAGGGUAACGGCCUACCAAGGCAACGAUCGAUAGGGGAGCUGAGAGGUUGAUCCCCCACACGGGCACUGAGAUACGGGCCCGACUCCUACGGGAGGCAGCAGUAGGGAAUAUUGGGCAAUGGAUGCAAGUCUGACCCAGCCAUGCCGCGUGCCGGAUGAAGGCCCUCAGGGUUGUAAACGGCUUUUAUUCGGGAAGAAGAGCAGGGAUGCGUCCCUGUGUGACGGUACUGAAUGAAUAGCUAGAG